CAAACACAUCACUAGUAAGCCUCAACCCUUACAUUCUUAUUCAUCCCCAAGGUCUAAAUAACUUUAAACAUCCCACAGUCUUUACAUAUUCUUAAAAUUUCAAUCUCUUUAAAAUAUCCAUAUCAUUUAAAAUCCAAAGUCUUUUUACAAUUAAAAGUCUCUUAACUGUGGGCUCUACUAAAAUAGUUUCUUCCUUCAAGAGGGAAAAUAUCAGGGCACAGUCACAAUCAAAAGCAAAAGUCAAUCUCCAACCGUCCAAUGUCUGGGAUCCAACUUACGAUCUUCUGGGCUCCUCCAAGGGCUUGGGUCACUUCUCCAGCCAUGCCCUUUGUAGCACACGCAUCAUCCUCUAGGCUCCAGAUGCCUGUAAUCCACUGCUGCUGCUGCUCUUGGUGGUCAUCUCAUGGUACUGGCAUCUCCAAAGCACUGCAUGACCCCUUCAGUCCUGGGCCAUCAAUUGCAACUGAGGCUGCACUUUCACCAAUGGCCUUCCAUGGCCUCUCACAGUGCCAAGCCUCAGCUGCUCUGCUCAACUCCUUCAUGCCUUCAAAACCAGUACCACCUGGGUGACCCUUACACAUUACCAAGUCCAGCCACAGCACAAGGUACAACUUUGGCUAUAUCUGGAACACAGCCACUGUGCUCUCAGAAAACACUUCCCAGAAGAUGUCACCUCAAUGAUGCUGGUCUCUUCUUAAUCACCGCUAAUUUCUUAGCUCCAGCUAACCAGCAUCAAUAGUCCCAGUAAUGCAAAGUUUUUGCUUUAGUAGUUCUGGUAUCUUGUUAAUCACAGCUGAUUCUUCAGCCCCAGCUAACCAGAACUACAGAAUCUUCACAAUCAAAACAGCAAUGGCCCUGAAAAGAGUCUUUAAUUUUCCCUCUGAAAUUUCACAAGCCAGGCCUCCAUCUUCUGCACUGUUCUCAACAUUAUCUUCCAAGCUCCUACAAAACAUCUGACAGAGCUCUUAACAACGAAUGGAUCUUCAAGCCCAAAGUUCCAAAGUCCUUCCACAGACCUCCCCAAAACAUGGUCAGGUUGUAGCAGGAAUACCCCACUCUGCUGGUACCAAUUUGUCUUAGUCAGGGUUUCUAUUCCUGCACAAACAUCAUGACCAAGAAACAAGUUGGGGAGGAAAGGGUUUAUUCGGCUUACACUUCCAUGCUGCUGUUCAUCACCAAAGGAAGUCAGGACUGGAACUCAAACAGGUCAGGGAGCAGGAGCUGAUGCAGAGGCCAUGGAGGAAUGUUCUUUACUGGCUUGCCUCCCCUGGCUUGCUCAGCCUGCUCUCUUAUAGAACCCAAGAUUACCAGCCCAGAGAUGGUCCCACCCACAAGGGGCCUUUCCCCCUUGAUCACUAAUUGAGAAAAUGCCUUACAGUUGGAUCUCAUGGAGGCAUUUCCUCAACUGAAGCUCCUUUCUCUGUGGUAACUCCAGCUGUGUCAAGUUGACACAAAACUAGCCAGUACAAUAUCCCAGCAGACCGAUGCUAGUAUAAUAAAACUGUAUGUAUAUACCCCAGCAAACCGAUGCUAGUAUAAUAAAACUGUAUGUAUAUAUCCCAGCAGACCGAUGCUAGUAUAAUAAAACUGUAUGUAUAUAUCCCAACAGACCGAUGCUAGUAUAAUAAAACUGUAUGUAUAUACCCCAGCAGACCGAUGCUAGUAUAAUAAAACUGUAUGUAUAUACCCCAGCAGACCGAUGCUAGUAUAAUAAAACUGUAUGUAUAUAUCCCAGCAGACCGAUGCUAGUAUAAUAAAACUGUAUGUAUAUAUCCCAGCAGACCGAUGCUAGUAUAAUAAAACUGUAUGUAUAUACCCCAGCAGACCGAUGCUAGUAUAAUAAAACUGUAUGUAUAUAUCCCAGCAGACCGAUGCUAGUAUAAUAAAACUGUAUGUAUAUACCCCUAGGUCCAUUCGUUUGAUGGCACGAAGGAAGCAGCAGCUGCUUUGGUUGACUUGGGCCUUUAUAUAGGAUUUAAUGGUUGGUACGUUCUCAUACUGUUUUGGUUUUCCUUAAUUUUUAUAUUAUCAGAUUCUUUAAGUUGUCUUGUUAAGACUUUAUUUUUAUUACAGUUUAUAUGUUCUGCAUUGAUCUUUGGGAAUUUUAGUAACUACUUAUGAAUAAAUUGGAUAGUAGAUGGUUUUCAGUCAUU
rnacentral:lncRNA from 1 species